UACAGUCGAGCUUAAUAUCAGAAUAUUCUAUUACCUGUUAUUAUUAUUAUCUAUUAUUCCCGCUAUGAAUAUUAAAAUACGCUGAACCAUUUGUCCUGUAUCAUAGCUACAUGUAUGACGUUUGCAGCAAAAAAAAUCAAAAUAAAAAACGCGUGAAAAUCAGUUUAAUAUUCAGAGUUAAGAUGGAUUAAAUGCGCUGUCAAACAGCGCUGAGUGGAGCGGCUGACCGGACCAAGAUGGCGGCCGUAUUUCUCUCUGCGCAGCACCCCGAGCGGUGUCUACUCUUUAUUAUGUCUAUGACUACCACCACCAUGCUUCACUGAUGAGGAGGACAUGAUACUACCACCACCAUGCUUCACUGAUGAAGAAGAACAUGAUACGACCACCACCAUGCUUCACUGAUGAGGAGGACAUGAUAGUACCACCACCAUGCUUCACUGAUGAGGAGGACAUGAUACGACCACCACCAUGCUUCACUGAUGAGGAGGACAUGAUACGACCACCACCAUGCUUCACUGAUGAGGAGGUAAUGAUACUACCACCACCAUGCUUCACUGAUGAAGAAGAACAUGAUACGACCACCACCAUGCUUCACUGAUGAGGAGGACAUGAUAGUACCACCACCAUGCUUCACUGAUGAGGAGGACAUGAUACGACCACCACCAUGCUUCACUGAUGAGGAGGUCAUGAUACUACCACCACCAUGCUUCACUGAGGACAUGAUACUACCACCACCAUGCUUCACUGAUGAGGAGGUAAUGAUACUACCACCACCAUGCUUCACUGAUGAGGAGGACAUGAUACUACCACCACCAUGCUUCACUGAUGAGGAGGACAUGAUACGACCACCACCAUGCUUCACUGAUGAGGAGGACAUGAUACGACCACCACCAUGCUUCACUGAUGAGGAGGUAAUGAUACUACCACCACCAUGCUUCACUGAUGAAGAAGAACAUGAUACUACCACCACCAUGCUUCACUGAUGAGGAGGACAUGAUACUACCACCACCAUGCUUCACUGAUGAAGAAGAACAUGAUACGACCACCACCAUGCUUCACUGAUGAGGAGGACAUGAUAGUACCACCACCAUGCUUCACUGAUGAGGAGGACAUGAUACGACCACCACCAUGCUUCACUGAUGAGGAGGUAAUGAUACUACCACCACCAUGCUUCACUGAGGACAUGAUACUACCACCACCAUGCUUCACUGAGGACAUGAUACUACCACCACCAUGCUUUACUGAGGACAUGAUACUACCACCACCAUGCUUCACUGAUGAGGAGGUAAUGAUACUACCACCACCAUGCUUUACUGAGGACAUGAUACUACCACCACCAUGCUUCACUGAUGAGGAGGACAUGAUACUACCACCACCAUGCUUCACUGAUGAGGACAUGAUAUUACCACCACCAUGCUUCACUGAUGAGGACAUGAUACGACCACCACCAUGCUGGAUCAGAAUAUGUGCUACAGAAAUGUUUGAUUCGCUGUAUAGAGGAAGAUUUAAUGCCACUAUGAGGUGGGGAUAUCUGUAAAGCUGGUAUCUUUGGAUCUUGAGCAGUUCCUUUCCUUCUCCAUACUCUUCUCUUUCCAUCAUUCUGGUCCAUGUAGAUCUUUGUCUCAUCCAUCCAUCGGCUGUUGUUCCAGAACUUCUCAGACUCUUUUAGAUGUUCUUUGAUAAACUCUAAUCUGGUCUUCCUGUUCUUGAGGCUCAUCAAUGGUUUCCACCUUAAGGUGAACCCUCUGUAGUCACUCUGGUGAAGUCUUCUCUUCAUAGUUGAUUUUGACCUCCUGGAGAGUCUUCUGGAUCUGGCAAACUGUUGUGAAGACUUUUCCUUGACCAAGGAAGGAAUCCUCUGUCUUCCACUACAUUUUUUUCCUGUAGUCUUCCGGGUCUUUUGUCGUUUGUCUCAUGUUUUGUGUUUCCUUUUUGUCUAAUUUGUGUUUUUUGUCUUAUUUCUGUCAUUUUGUGUUUUGCUUUAUUUGUCGCUUUUUGUAUCGUUUUUGUGGGGGUUUUUUGUCUCGCUUGUGUUGUCUAAUUUUUUGCCAUUUGCUCAUUGUUUUGUCGCUUUGUGACUUUUUAUCAAAUUUUUAAUCUCUUUUGUUUGGUGUCGUUUGUCUCGCUUUUUUCAUUUUGUUUCUCAUUCUGCAAUGUUUUGUCUUAUUUUUUGUUUUGUUUUGUCUUUCUAAAAUAAAAUACUAUAUGGUUCAGUUCUAGAUACCUGUGACUAUAUGUUGUGUUCCUUUGUAGACACCCUGUGAUAUGUUUACAUUGUCUAUUAAAAAAAAUGUGACUUCA